UACGUAUGUCCCGAGCGUUAUCCGGAUUUAUUGGGCGUAAAGCGAGCGCAGACGGUUGAUUAAGUCUGAUGUGAAAUCCCGGAGCCUAACUCCGGAACUGCAUUGGAAACUGGUUUACUUGAGUGCGAUAGAGGCAAGUGGAACUCCAUGUGUAGCGGUGAAAUGCGUAGAUAUGUGGAAGAACACCAGUGGCGAAGGCGGCUUGCUAGAUCGUAACUGACGUUGAGGCUCGAAAGUAUGGGUAGCAAAC
rnacentral:rRNA from 1 species